rnacentral:rRNA from 1 species
CAAUAGUGUAUAUUAAAGUUGUUGCAGUUAAAAAGCUCGUAGUUGGAUUUCUGAGAGGAUGCCAAUGUCCUUCUGUGUAAGUGUGCAGCGGCGUCUUUUCAUCCUUCUGUUAACACCUCUUGGCAUUCGUUUGCUGGUGGUGGGCUCAGAUAUUUUACCUUGAGAAAAUUAGAGUGUUUCAGGCAGGCUAGGCCGGAAUACAUUAGCAUGGAAUAAUGGAAUAGGACUACGGUCUCUUUGUUGGUUUGAGGGACUGCAGUAAUGAUUAAUAGGGAUAGUUGGGGGCAUUAGUAUUUAAUUGUCAGAGGUGGAAUUCUCGGAUUUGUUAAAGACUAACUUAUGCGAAAGCAUUUGCCAAGGAUGUUUUCAUUAA